rnacentral:rRNA from 1 species
GCGACCCCAGGAUGGGUG